GAUGAAGAACGUAGCGAAAUGCGAUACUUGGUGUGAAUUGCAGAAUCCCGUGAACCAUCGAGUCUUUGAACGCAAGUUGAGCCCGAAGCCAUUAGGCCGAGGGUACGCCUGCCUGGGCGUCACACGUCGUUGCCCCCCCAUCUACUCCUUCGGGAUUGCGGGGGGCGGAUGAUGGCCUCCCGUGCGCCUCGUCGCGCGGUUGGCAUAAAUGCCAAGUCCUCGGCGACGCACGCCACGACAAUCGGUGGUUGCGAAACCUCGGUUGCCCGUCGUGUGCGGUCGUCGCGCAUCGAGGGCUCGAAAAAAUUGCCGGGCUCCGGCUCGGCUUUCAACGCGACCCCAGGUCAGGCGGGGUUACCCGCUGAAUUUAAGCAUAUCAAUAAGCGGAGGA
rnacentral:misc_RNA from 1 species